GCUGACUGAGAAGUCACAACAACACCACGUGACUCUUCUGAAGAAGACUGCAGGAAGUUUGUAGUCGAAACAUGUCAAGGCAAAAUGGCAGACACCAUUUGAAAGCACCAUGACGACAUGCUGUGGUGAUGUGGACGAGUUAUGCUCAAGUGGACUAUGUCCUGCAUGCUAUGAUAUUGUUCAUUUCCCUUCAUCCAUUGUGCUCACUCCUAUUUCCUGUCGUCAUCAGUAGCCUCAUCGCUUGAUUUUGUAGCUUCAUCAGCCCAAGACGUCAUCUUAAGCAAUCUCGCCAUUGCAGCCCAGUCUUUGCAAUCCUUCAGCUUCUUCAUCCCUGGGCGAUUUAUCAACCAUCUUUCCAUCACCACCCAGUCUUUGAAGUUUCAUCAGUUUCUUCUUCAGCUCAUCAGCUUCAGACGUCAUCAUCGGCUAACACCUCCACCACCAGUGAGACAACUCCAUGGGGGUAUAGAUAUUGCUUCAGCUCCGGGCAGCUUCUACAUGUUCAGUUCCUGUCAGAGCUCGAAGAAGACAAGAAGUCAGCUGAGGACCUGAUUUGAAAGGGAAACCUGGCAAAGAUGGCAGCUAAAACUUGGAGAAAAUAUAUGAAGUCAGAGACAAGCAAAAAACAAUAAUAAAAAAUUACAAGAAGACUCAUGUAUCCAUAGAAAAUAAAUACAAUUUAGGGGUUGAAUAAUGUUGAUACAAUCAUCUUCCUUACAUGAUAUGUUAGGUUGAACUGUAUACAAUUUAUUUUGAUCAAUUUAAAUUUCUUCUGAAGUUCAAGCAGCUGUACAUAGAAACACAGUGGUGGAUGAGUUGUUUCCCAGCUUUAAUGUGAUUAGGAGAUUUCUAGCAUCUUAAAAGAAAGGGUAAAUAUCACAAACUGAUAUAAACCUUUUUGACUUUUGUAACUGCAUUCAUCGAAACAAAGAGUCAGCCUCGGUGUAACUCACUUUGUGAUAGAAGCACCUGCACUUACAGACAUACACAGCAUUCAGCCAUUAUCAGUUUCCCUCCUUCUUUCCUGUCUCCUGAUUGCUGUCUCUGAAUGAAACCUCACACUCUGAUUCAUCUACACUUACUGCAGGCUGUCAGCUGGCCCUCAUUUCAAAUCAUCUGGUAAUCCUCCUGAAGCAUGUUGAGAUGAGGGUGUCAGGGAGUGCAGAUCAGUGCCUCUGCUCGAUGAAAGGAGUGCAUCCUAUCAAACACAAUCUGAGAUUAUUGCUGAUGACACAUCAGCAGGGUCAAUGGGAGAAAAGUGUCCUCUGUGGGCCAAUUGACUCACUUAAUCAAAAUCUGUGUCACAGGGACGCUCUGCAUGUUGUGACUCUGAUGGUUUGAAGACGGUUCACCUUGGAUUUUUGCCUUUUGAGAGGUUAAAGUAGUCUUGACGUAAACUAAUGAGAGCAUCCCAGAGGGGGCUUGUGAGUAAAUUAUUUGAAAUGGAUGCAGUAAGAUCAAAUCAUUACAUAUGUUAAUCUCUGCGCCUGUGAAUGUGUGCGACAGUCACAGCAUGCUGAAAUUUGGGCCUGUGCAGUGUGAUGAAAAUAACACCAGACUAUUUUGUACUUCUCUAAUCUAAUCUUUAGAUCUUUAAUCCUUGUUAUCAUCAGAUUAGAAUCAGUAUCAAGAUUAAAUCAGAGCAGAAUAGAAACCUUUUGUUACAGCAGUAGUUUGGGCAUAUCAGUUUAGAAAAAUAAUUUCAUAAUAUGCUUCUUUCUGUGUAAGAAAGUCAAAUCUGUGAGUGAAAAAAUAAACAGUUUCCUGAGUCUUCUGCAGACGAAUCAUGACUAAGAGUUUGGAAGAGCUUUGUAGGUGUUGGCCAGUUUGCAGCAGGAUGAGUCAGCAAAAGGUCACACAGAUCAAGUAUGCGGACACCUGUGCUCCCUUUAAAAAGUCCAAACUGAAAUAUGUGAGUUUUAGUGAGGUGUUAGGAUUAUAAGAAGUUACUGAAAAAUGAAAAUCAAAAAAAUGUAUGCUUGGUUAACACUGAAUAAAAACCUUCAUUCCAAUCAUUC